rnacentral:rRNA from 1 species
UACAGAGGGGGCAAGCGUUGUUCGGAAUUACUGGGCGUAAAGGGCGCGUAGGCGGCCUUCUAAGUCGAACGUGAAAUCCCCGGGCUCAACCCGGGAACUGCGUCCGAUACUGGAUGGCUGGAGUUUGGGAGAGGGAUGCGGAAUUCCAGGUGGUAGCGGUGAAAUGCGUAGAUAUCUGGAGGAACACCGGUGGCGAAGGCGGCAUCCUGGACCAACACUGACGCUGAGGAGCGAAAGCCAGGGGAGCAAACGGG